CCUCUGCUGGCCGCCUCCCUCCAGCGGGACCGCCUGGCCGCUGCUGGCUGACUCCCUCCCACCAGGCUGCCGCCGCUCCCGGCCGACUCCCUCUGGCUGGGCCACUGCCGCUGCUGCCGGCCAACUCCCUCCAGCGGGGCCACUGGCAGUUGCUGGCCGCCUCCCUCUGGCCGGGCCGCCUGGCCGCUGCUGGCUGACUCCCUUUGACCGGGCCGCCGCCGUUGCCGCUGCUGGCCAACACCGUCCUGCCUGGCCAUAGCUGCUGCUGCUGCUGGCCGACUCCCCUCCUGCCGGGCCACCGCCACCGCUGCUGACUGACACCAUCCUGCCGGGCCGCGGCUGCCUCUUCUGGUCCCUCUGACUGGGCCGUGGCCUCUGCUGGCUGACUCCCGCCAGCCGCACCAACGCCUCUGCUGACUCCCUCCGGCCGCUGGUCACUCUUCCCGGAUCCUCACAGGAAGCGCAGUCUUGGCUUCCAUAGGGGCACGCACGCUGGCAGCGUCACUAGCCUCAAGCUGAAGCACCACCCCCUCCUAAAGGGGCCGCAGCUCGGCCUGGCCAGAAUAGCUUCCGGUUGGAUGAGAACAAGUCUACCUGCUCGGAGCUCGCUUAGAGGAGGAGGAGGAGGAGGAGGAGGAGGAGCCGCCCAUUGCCCAUGCUGGAGGCUGGAGUCUGCAGUAUCAGCUCGCCUCCCUGUUGCGGGUAGUGGUGGUGACAGAGACUACAGUGCAGCUGGAAAGGCUUUUCUGGCUUUGCCCACCCAGGUGCUCCAUGCCAGGAGAAGGAAGAGGCAUCUGCUGCAUGCUGGAGGCUGGAGCCUGUGACACCACAGCUCAUCUCACUGUGGUGGGUGGCAGCGAUGGAGACUGCAGAGUGCCGAGAGGACAACCAAGUCCCUAUAUGUCUCCUCUGGACAGCACGGGUGAAAUCUUCUCAGAGACGACAAUCAUCAAAACCUCCUCACCAUGACAGCAAGCAAGGAGGAAGGACCCUAAAGACCGUCGAUGCCCCUUUUCAGCAUGAAGUAGCUACAGAGAAUGAUGUCUGCCCCAUGUCCCAAAAGAUUUCUGGGUCCCAACCACUUGAGGGAGAAUGUAAGAGGAGUAGACAGCCAGAUAUAAGCAGGCACAAGGAGGUGGUAUCCAUGUUGAAAAGAAACCCCCAGAACACCUCUUUGGAUGCUCAGUACUCCAGCUUCAAAAUAUCAGAAUGUUGUUAACUAGAUCAUGAUAAGGACAAAAGGCAAAGGGGAAUUCCUGAGAGCUGAGCAGGCACAAUGAGUACAAAAUUGACUGCUAUACCUUCCCAGGGUGGUGGUAAUAUGCAGUGCCACCAUUAGGUAGGAUUUGUGUUGAUUAAUGUUUCCCAUGCAUGUGCAUUAAGCACAGUAAGGGAGGAUCCCCCGAACUUUGGUGAGAACUGGGCAAAGAAAUAACUGAGGCAACAGAAGAUAACAAUGCAGAGUGUCGUGGGGAUGUUUCCAGCAGGGUCAGCCCCCUCCUCUCUUGGAGUGUGUUUGUACUUUUCCAAUAAAACUUUUCUUUACUUACA
rnacentral:lncRNA from 13 species